rnacentral:sRNA from 2 species
UAGCACGAAGGGGAGCCUGGGCUCCCCUUCAAGUUCGAUUGCAUUUAUUAUUAGGUGGCCUGUUGUUGUAUUUUUUAUUGUUGUAGACGGCCAACCUUUUUUGCUUUGGGAGCGACCCCCAAACGGGGCCAAGAGCAAACGUAUUUUUUUGAGCGCUGAUCCGCUUCGAUCUUUCGAUCCGACUGGUCUGGUAGCUGCCUGAACGCAGUU